AAACUACUCCCUCCGUUCGGAAUUACUUGUCUUGAAAAUAGAUGUAUCUAGAACUAAAAUACGUCUAGAUACAUUCAUUUUUGCGACAAGUAAUUCCGAUCGGAUGGAGUACCUG
rfam:Triticum aestivum genome assembly, contig: Triticum_aestivum_CS42_TGACv1_scaffold_147730_2BS